CACUUAAAUGGUUCUUUGUCAGAGUGUUUGGUUCGAUGAAGGACCUUAACAUCUUUGAAAUGUUCUUUAUAGUUGGAAAAUGAAUUUAGUAAUAUACUGAAUACUAUAAAAUAUAAAUGAAUACUAAUUUACUGAAAGUUUCUUUGGGGAAAAUGGUUCUUCUAUGGCAUCACUAUGAAAUCCCUCUUUUGUUUCUUUAUAUUUAAGAGUAGCAAAAGUUUAAGUCACAUGUUAGACCUUAAUUUAAAAGGAUAUUUUUUUAUCGAAAGUUUGCAUAAACAUCUAAAAUGUGAGAUUACUGAAACUUAUUUUUAAGGUUGCUAAAAGUUUCUUGCUUUUUUUAAAAAGCGGCAGCGGCAGAUGGCGCUCUAUGAUCUUACAUUGUGUGUGUGUGUGUGUGUGUGUGUGUGUGUGUGUGUGUGUGUGUGUGUGUGUGUGUGUGUGUGUGUGUGUGUGUGUGUGUGUGAGAGAGAGAGAGAGAGAGAGAGAGAGAGAGAGAGAGAGAGAGAGAGAGAUUUGUGGGGUUUGUGUGUGAUGCGCGGAUGAAAGCCUCCGCCGCUGCGCUCUGUAGCUCUGCCUCUGUCGCGGUGGAUCCACACUGCGCUCGCAUCCCCUCCGUCCCACCGCGGACAUCCGGCCAACUGAUCCGUCUCCCUCCCUCAACAAUGAGAGCAGGAUCCUUCCUCUGGUGAAUUCAGGGACUCGGAGAGGAGGAGAGGAGAGAAUAGGAGCGGAUGAGAGGAGAGGAGAGAAGAGGAUAGUGCCGUUUCCUUUACUCCACGUCUGGUUGAGUCAUGCCAGUUCCAGAUCAACCUGCUGAAUCUGAGAACGCCUCUACUGGAGACCGAACCGAAUCCGAGGCCGCUUCAGCCAUCCUGGCGUCAGUUAAAGAGCAGGAGCUGCAGUUUGAGAGACUGACUCGAGAGCUGGAGGCUGAGCGCCAAAUUGUCGCUACCCAACUGGAGCGAUGCAAACGAGGAUCUGAGGCUGGCAGCACCAUGAGCAACAUAAGGU